ensembl:lncRNA
CCAUUGCACUCACUUUCUAGGUGAUCUAGAAAUACCAUUUUUAAGUUGGCUUACAACAAGUACUUCAGUGUCUUUAAUAUGCCAGUCACUGUUCUGCAUGUAAGGGAUACAUUAGUGAAUAAAAAUUCCCUGCCUUAGUGGCUUAUGGUAAUAGCCAUUUUAUUAUAUCUAGUGUUUUAUAGGUGAGGCAUUUGAUAAGGGCUCAGCUGGAUGAUAUGCCUCUGCUUCAUGGUGUCUGGGGCCUCAGCUAGAGUGGUUUAAACAUCUGGAGAUGACUGAAGCUAUAUGUCUAGGGCCUCUGUUCUCCAUAUGGUAUAUGCUGGUGUAGAAUAUUCAACAUGGCUCCUUCACUCACAUGUCUGGUGCCUGGGCUAGAAUGACUGGAGCAGCUAGGGACUAGCUAGCAUGACUUUCUCCAUAUAUAGCAAUUUCAUGGCAGUUGGACUUGCUAUAUGGCUUUGGCUUCUGCCAGAACAACCAUUCCAAAGGACAGUUCCAAGACAUAAGAGGUAGAAGGUGCCAUCUUGGGGCCUGGGCCCAGAUAGUGUCACAGUGUCAUUUUUUUCUGUGUGUCAGAGUUGUCACAGAGCCCAUGUAUUUUCAAGAAGUGGGGUCAUAAUUCUGCCUCUUGAGAGAAGGAGUGUAAACACCAGUUUACCCUCUGGCCACAAAUUUGUAUUUCUCCCACAUGAAAAUAUAUUCAGAUCCUCUCAAGAAAAUUUCAUCCCAGUCAGUCAUUAGGCUUAGGCUUGAGGUUUAGGUCUCUUCUGAAGCAGACCCAGAUGGAGAUGAAACUACUCAGGUAUGCUUCCACUCAGUCUGAAGAUUUGUGAACUUAAGAGACAUAAGAUCUGCACCCCCUCCACACAAACACUCACCAAACACAAUAGUAAGAGAAACAUGCAUUAAGUGCAAUAGGCACACUGAUGGAAAAGUAAGAAAAUAGGAGGACUAUAGCAGUCACUGUUCACUAGAAAUUUUAAAAUUAAGCAUAUAUUGCCAGUUUCUUGAUUAGGUCUUCUGUCCUGCUUCAUGAGAAAAUUCUGUGGCUCUUUGCUCUGUCCUCUGUGCUCUUGUUUUAACCCCGAGUCAGCCUUUCUUUUUCAUAAGAAGUAGCUCAAUUUUGCUCUUUCUUCCAUAUGACUAAAGAAAUGAAAAAUUUGAUCAGACCAUUAACGAGUAAUGAGAAUGUAUUGGUAAUAAAAGGUCCACUUAUUUUGUCUUACAGUGAGAGUGGCUUGUUAUUAUCUCCCAUUAUUGAUGCAUUUCUAUCUUUGUCUUCCUGCAUCCCCUGCAGCUUUUGCUUCAUAACGAUGUUUGCAGUGUUAUUUGGUACCAUGCAUAUUCAUGUUAGGUCUUUAUUGUGAAUAACAGAUUUUAGAAUUAAAAAGGAAAUUUGGGCUGGGCACAGUGACUCAUGCCUGUAAUCCCAAUACUUUGGGAGGCCAAGGUGGGCAGAUCACCUGAAGUCAGGAGUUUGAGACCAGCCUGGCUAGCAUGGUGAAACCCCGUCUCUACCAAAAAAAAAAAAACAAAAAAUUAGCUGAGUGUGGUGGUGGGCGCCAUAAUCCCAGCUACUCAGGAGGCUAAGGCAGGAGAAUCGCUUGAACCUGGGAGACUGAGGUUGCAGUAAGCUGAGAUCACCCCAUUGCACUCCAGCCUGGACAACAAGAACGAAACUCUGUCUCAAAAAAAAAAAAAAAAAAAAAAA